CUGGCGGCGGCCUACACAUGCAAGUCGAGCGGUUGAGGGAAGCUUGCUUCCUGAUUCAGCGGCGGACGGGUGAGUAAUGCCUAGGAAUCUGCCUGGUAGUGGGGGACAACGUUUCGAAAGGAACGCUAAUACCGCAUACGUCCUACGGGAGAAAGCAGGGGACCUUCGGGCCUUGCGCUAUCAGAUGAGCCUAGGUCGGAUUAGCUAGUUGGUGAGGUAAUGGCUCACCAAGGCGACGAUCCGUAACUGGUCUGAGAGGAUGAUCAGUCACACUGGAACUGAGACACGGUCCAGACUCCUACGGGAGGCAGCAGUGGGGAAUAUUGGACAAUGGGCGAAAGCCUGAUCCAGCCAUGCCGCGUGUGUGAAGAAGGUCUUCGGAUUGUAAAGCACUUUAAGUUGGGAGGAAGGGCAGUCAGCGAAUACCUUGCUGUCUUGACGUUACCGACAGAAUAAGCACCGGCUAACUCUGUGCCAGCAGCCGCGGUAAU
rnacentral:rRNA from 1 species